rnacentral:pre_miRNA from 1 species
GAUGUACUCCCUCCGUUCGGAAUUACUUGUCGCAGAAAUGGAUGUAUCUAGAUGUAUUUUAGUUCUAGAUACAUCCAUUUCCGAGACAAGUAAUUCUGAAUGGAGGGGGUACAUA